rnacentral:rRNA from 1 species
CCUAGGGGGGCAGCAGUGGGGAAUAUUGGACAAUGGGCGAAAGCCUGAUCCAGCCAUGCCGCGUGUGUGAAGAAGGCCUUCGGGUUGUAAAGCACUUUCAGUGGGGAAGAAAGCCUUGGGGCUAAUACCCUCGAGGAAGGACAUCACCCACAGAAGAAGCACCGGCUAACUCCGUGCCAGCAGCCGCGGUAAUACGGAGGGUGCGAGCGUUAAUCGGAAUUACUGGGCGUAAAGCGCGCGUAGGCGGUCUGAUAAGCCGGUUGUGAAAGCCCCGGGCUCAACCUGGGAACGGCAUCCGGAACUGUCAGGCUAGAGUGCAGGAGAGGAAGGUAGAAUUCCCGGUGUAGCGGUGAAAUGCGUAGAGAUCGGGAGGAAUACCAGUGGCGAAGGCGGCCUUCUGGACUGACACUGACGCUGAGGUGCGAAAGCGUGGGUAGCAAACAGGAUUAGAUACCCCAGUAGUC